GUGCCAGCAGCCGCGGUAAUACGGGGGGGGCAAGCGUUGUUCGGAAUUACUGGGCGUAAAGGGGACGUAGGCGGCCAACUAAGUCCGACGUGAAAUCCCAAGGCUUAACCUUGGAACUGCGUCGGAUACUGGAUGGCUUGAAUUCGGGAGAGGGAUGCAGAAUUCCAGGUGUAGCGGUGAAAUGCGUAGAUAUCUGGAGGAAUACCGGUGGCGAAGGCGGCAUCCUGGACCGACAUUGACGCUGAAAGCCGAAAGCUAGGGGAGCAAACGGGAUUAGAAACCCGCGUAGUCC
rnacentral:rRNA from 1 species